ensembl:snoRNA
AACUGGAGUGAUGAAAAAAUUAUCCUUAGGCAUGGUUGUGGCCGUCUUGGUCACAUGUGUGCCACUUGCCAAUGCAAGGACUUGUCAUAGUUACACUGACUGUGU